rnacentral:rRNA from 1 species
UACGUAGGGGGCAAGCGUUGUCCGGAAUUAUUGGGCGUAAAGAGCGUGUAGGCGGUCCGGUAAGUCGGCUGUGAAAGUCCAGGGCUCAACCCUGGGAUGCCGGUCGAUACUGCCGGACUAGAGUUCGGAAGAGGCGAGUGAAAUUCCCGGUGUAGCGGUGAAAUGCGCAGAUAUCGGGAGGAACACCUAUGGCGAAGGCAGCUCGCUGGGACGUUACUGACGCUGAGACGCGAAAGCGUGGGGAGCAAACAGG